CUUCAACACCAGGCGAGCAAUUAUACCGAUCUUCUUCCUCCUUCGACCAGCGGCGGCGUGCCGGGGUAGAGUGGCCUGCAAGUUUAGUUGUGCUGCCGACUUUAUUAAGACUUCUCUUCUUUUAUCAAUUUAAGGAAAACCCAAAAAAGAUUUUAAAAGAAAAACAAAUGAAGGAACGGAGAUGUCACGCUCUCUAGAUUGAAUUCGAAAUAUUUUACAGUCCCAUAA
rnacentral:lncRNA from 1 species